AUUGAACGCUGGCGGCAUGCCUUACACAUGCAAGUCGAACGGUAACGGGCCUUCGGGUGCCGCCGAGUGGCGAACGGGUGAGUAAUACAUCGGAACGUGCCCGAUCGUGGGGGAUAACGAGGCGAAAGCUUUGCUAAUACCGCAUACGAUCUACGGAUGAAAGCAGGGGACCGCAAGGCCUUGCGCGGACGGAGCGGCCGAUGGCAGAUUAGGUAGUUGGUGGGAUAAAAGCUUACCAAGCCGACGAUCUGUAGCUGGUCUGAGAGGAUGAUCAGCCACACUGGGACGGAGACACGGCCCAGACUCCUACGGGAGGCAGCAGUGGGGAAUUUUGGACAAUGGGCGCAAGCCUGAUCCAGCCAUGCCGCGUGCAGGAUGAAGGCCGUCGGGUUGUAAACUGCUUUUGUACGGAACGAAAAGCCUUCUUUUAAUACAGGAGGGUCAUGACGGUACCGUAAGAAUAAGCACCGGCUAACUACG
rnacentral:rRNA from 1 species